GCAGUAAAAAGCAGAGGCUCUGAUCCAGCUUUGCUGCCUGGAAAAAGAAUGACUGUCAUAGACAACAAAGUUCUGGAUCUCGUCGACAAGAAUUCCACUCUCAACUCUGCAAAGAUUAGACUUUACAUUUAGUCUGCCAUUACCCUCUGACCUCAGUGAAAAGGAUGAAGGUGACCAGGUAUUCUCAUUCUUCAACCAAAGCAUGGCCACGGUUUUGAAUGGGCUGCUGCAUCCUCUGCCAGGGUGUGAUGCAGCAUCUGGAUUCUACUUGCUUCCGUGGUGAUUGGCAGAACCUCGCCGUUUCUUCCGGAAGAAAUUGCCAUUGCUGAUUCGGCAUGAAAUCACAUCCAAGAACAAUCCAGGGAACAGAAUCCAUUUGAGAUAAAGAAGACACCUUUCAUAUCAGUAACUGGAAGACAGUCAAGGAAACCUCUCUGAGAUCCUGCAUGGAGCCCCACAUACAGCUUCCUGUUCCACUGGAAUCAGAGGCAGUUGGGGGAAAGUCUCAAAUCAUCAC
rnacentral:lncRNA from 1 species